CACCCAUAUUCUAUGUUAACAGUCACAGGAGAGCUGUUUAAAUUGUCAAAGAGGGUAGCAGUGAUGACAGCGUCAGAAUGACAACUCAAGGUCCUAUCUUAAAAGAACUUAACAUUAAAAGAUGGAAAACGUACAUUCAGAUUCCCCGAACCAGAAGCACAGAGAAGAAAAGAAGUGGGAGACAAUAAAACAGCAGCCCUGGGUCUGAAACAUCAGUGGCCGACAGGCUCCCCCUUUCACGUGGGCCAAGUCUCUCCCAGGACGUCAGCGUGCUGAGCCUCCAGAAAGUGGAACGCUGUUUGCUUUGCUUGCCAGCCACGUCUCCCUACAAACACUUCAGUAGCUGCUGUGCUUCACAGCUGUGUUUCCUCCACUUUGCAUCAUCUGUUUAACAAGAAGUCAGUUCCACCAACAAUUACUCCAAGAGCCCCUUCCUCUCCGAAGUAUUCAGCCGCACUUUGUAAAACACUAACCUUGGAAUAAUGAAGGUCCUUAACCCACACGCACUCCACUUCACUGCUUGCAAUAAACACACAGAACAACACGCAAUCUGACAAAGCUUUUCCAGAGGUGAGGAGGUGAGGGUGGAGGUCAAGUUAAGAACGGUAGUUUGAUGGGACUGGAGAGCAGCCAAUGCCAGUGACAGGAAGUUGCGCUUGGACUGGGUCAAGCUUAUUGUGCAACCCCAACAGCACAGGAGUCGCAUACAUUGAAUGAUUCUCCCCUGACACAAAACUCAAAUUCUAUACAGUGAUGUUAUUUACCAGCGACUCGGACAUCAACACUUUCACAAAGAUAAAUAGAAGUCAAUAGUUUUUUAUUUAGCUGCUUUCUUAUUUCUAGAAUUUGAGAAGUUCCUCGUGGAUAACCGCUAGCAAAUGUAUUUUAGUUUUUACUGUAUAUAUUCAACGUGUACAGCAUGAUGUUUUGAUACACAGUUAAAUAAUUGCUCCAGUCAAGCCUUCCUGCCAAGCAUAGGUCUUGCGUGUCUGUGGUGGGAACAGCUAAAGUCUAC
rnacentral:lncRNA from 1 species